GACAGAGGGUGCAUACGUUGUUCGGAAUUACUGGGCGUAAAGCGCGUGUAGGCGGCUUGGCAAGUCGGGUGUGAAAGCCCUGGGCUCAACCUAGGAAGUGCACUCGAAACUGCUUCGCUUGAGUGUCGGAGAGGAAAGCGGAGUACUCGGUGUAGAGGUGAAAUACGUAGAUAUCGAGAGGAACAUCGGUGGCGAAGGCGGCUUUCUGGACGACUACUGACGCUGAGACGCGAAAGCGUGGGGAGCAAACAGG
rnacentral:rRNA from 1 species